rnacentral:tRNA from 1 species
GCCCUCGUCGCUUAACAGGAUAAAGCCCACGCCUCCUAAGCGUGUUCUGGAGGUUCGAGUCCUCCCGAGGGCGCCA